CGAAUUGAUGCAUUUGUCAACGUUGACAGUGGAGAGGUUUUGAUUAUAAAGAUGAAUACAGUGCCUGGAAUGACUCCUUCUACUGUUCUGAUUCAUCAGGCACUAGCAGAACAACCACCAUUAUAUCCUCACCAAUUCUUCCGUAAACUUCUUGAUUUGGCUUCAGAAAGAUCCACGUGAUCUCUUGUUUUAUUAUUGUUUCCAAAGGUGAUCACAUUGAAGUUAUCAUGUAUCACUUUUAUGAAAGUUGUUGCCCUUUAUAAUGUAAUGCUUAACUUUGGAUCAUUUACUUGCUUCCCUUUCUGAAUGUGUUCUCAAAUGCAAUCAUUGAUUAUAUAGUUUGUGUACUCUUAAA